AACGUAGGAGCCAAGCGUUAUCCGAAUUUACUGGGCGUAAAGCGCGUGCAGGCGGUUCGGCAAGUUGGAUGUGAAAGCUCCCGGCUCAACUGGGAGAGGCCGUUCAAAACUGCCGGGCUAGAGGGCGACAGAGGGAGGUGGAAUUCCCGGUGUAGUGGUGAAAUGCGUAGAUAUCGGGAGGAACACCAGUGGCGAAGGCGGCCUCCUGGGUCGCACCUGACGCUCAGACGCGAAAGCUAGGGGAGCGAACGGGAUUAGAGACCCCGGUAGUCCUAGCUGUAAACGAUGUAGACUUGGUGUUGGUGGGGUAAAAGCCAUCAGUGCCGCAGCAAACGCGAUAAGUCUACCGCCUGGGGACUACGGCCGCAAGGUUAAAACUCAAAGGAAUUGACGGGGACCCGCACAAGCAGCGGAGCGUGUGGUUUAAUUCGAUGCUACGCGAAGAACCUUACCCGGGUUUGACAUACAGGUGGUAGGGAAGCGAAAGUGGACCGACCCUUCGGGGAGCCUGAACAGGUGCUGCAUGGCUGUCGUCAGCUCGUGUCGUGAGAUGUCCGGUUAAGUCCGGUAACGAGCGCAACCCUUGCCGUAUGUUACAUGUGUCAUACGGGACUGCCGGUAUAAAGCCGGAGAAAGGUGGGGAUGACGUCAAGUCAGCAUGGCCUUUAUGUCCGGGGCUACACACACGCUACAAUGGCCGGUACAAUAGGUAGCAAGACCGCGAGGUGGAGCCAAUCCUGAAAGCCGGUCUCAGUUCAGAUUGCAGGCUGCAACCCGCCUGCAUGAAGUCGGAGUUGCUAGUAACCGCGCGUCAGCCACAGUGCGGUGAAUACGUUCCCGGGUCU
rnacentral:rRNA from 1 species